GGGCCUAUAGCUCAGCCUGGUGAGAGCGCAUCCCUGAUAAGGAUGAGGUCCGUGGUUCAAAUCCACGUAGGCCCA
rnacentral:tRNA from 1 species